GUUUCCCCAAGUGCCUGGCAACUGUCAUCACUAAUGUGACAUUGUUCGCCGACUGCACACAGGAACUCUUUGCUUGGCUCGCCAGUCACAAAGACGAUGGAGCCAGUGUUCAGGCACUCUUCCUCAAAGGUUGGGCUUAGGAAUCAUGUUCUUAUUUAGAUUCUGCUCACUUCCCUAUCCUUUUCUUCUUCUCAGUUUCAGCGUUCAAAAAGCUGUGUGAAUUUCACACUACCUAAAUGAAAAUUUAAAAUUAUCCAAUUCCACCAAAAUUUAUUCAGAAUCUAGUGUGUGCCAGGCAUUUUGUUAAGCACUGGGUAUGAACAACUGAGUAAAAUACUCCAGAAUCUGAUACGUUAGAAGGAAUUUAGAAAAGUAAAUACAGAGCUGUAAUAAAAUUAGGAUCGGUCCCAUGAUAGCAUUGUUUUUAAAAUGUGAGUGUAUAAGUGAGCAAGAUUAAUUUCAUUGGGUAGUGAGAAGAUAGGGAGAAACCAGAGAAUUGUAAAUACAUUUGAUCUGAUACUGGAAAGAGGUCAUGUAGACCAGAAAAGGAAAGAUACCCAGAUACCUCAAGGUGAGGAACUAGCACUAGGAAGAAGCACGGUGUGUUCAAGGUAACGAGCUGUUGGGGUGAAGCGGAAGAAAGCAGCCGAUGAUCUUAAAGCUAUCAACUGUGGGUUCCUUCGCCAUUUCAGCUGCCACCAUCCCCUCUCCCCAAAACCCCAGUAGACAUCAACAGAAUCCAGAAACUACAGGGUCCACUGGCAUGGCAGGGCCUGUAGGAUUCUUUUCCAAUGUGUACAGAUUGGCUGAUGCCUGGACUAUGCCAGUUCACUGUUUUAAAGAUUACUCUUGAUUGUCACAAUUAAAAACAAAGAAUAUUUAGAACCAAAUUAUAUGUGUUGCACAUUAAACAAAACGUUUUAUAAUAUGUUCUAAAAGUCAGCAAAGGUUAUUUAGCUGUGUAUGAUUCAUUUCACAAUUCCAUUUUUUAAUAUUGUAAUUCUCCCUUAUGCCUUCUAAUUUUUUUUGAAAUGACCACAGAUAUCUUCUGUAGGCCAAAUAGCAUAUUACACAUCUGUCAAAACAUACUUUAUUAUCAUAUAACUCUGUUUACAAAGUCUCUUGAACCCUUUCAGAUUGUUCUGGCUGCUUGUUUUGUGUUCAUUUCUUUCUUUAAUGUGUUUACAUUUUCCAGUCAUUUGUAUAAAUAAGGAUGUACUAGAAUAAAUAGUCUUUCCCCUUUAAGACCCAGUCUAAAUUUCAAGGUUAGUUUUAAAUUUUGUUCUUCAUUUCAAUAUGACAGCAAAGUUGUUUGAUACUAAGAAUAAUUCUUUUUGAUGAAAAUACUAUAUUUAAGAAAUCAAUAAUACUAUGAACUGACUUAUAUUCUCUUUAAAUUUAUAGACCUAACUAUACACCCCAUGUGAUGGUAUUUGGAGAUGGACCUUUGGAAGGUAAUUCAGGUUAGAUGAGAUCAUGAAGGUAUAGUCCUCAUGACGGGAUUAGUGUCUUCAUAAUGUGAUAGAGAGAGAGAGAGAGAGAGAGAAAAGGAGAGAGAGAGGAAGAGAAAUUAUCACAAAAAAAGAGGUCAUCUGAGUACACAGUGAGAUAGAAGCCACCUAUAAUCCAAGAAAAGAGUCCUCAGAAUAAAACCUACCUUGUGGACACCUUGAUCUUGGACUUCCAGUCUCCAGAACUAUGAGAAAUGAAUUUCUGUUGUUUAAGCAACUCAGUCUGUGGUACUUUGUUGUCUCAACUGAAGCAGAUGAAUACAAAUAAUAAAUAGAGUGGUGUACAUUAGUGAUGGAUGGCUCACUAUUAGAGAAGCCCAUAGUCUCUGUGUUGAAUUUUAUUUGCUCAUUGGAAUAAUUGACUCAAAUUUAAAAUUCUCCUCUAACGUUAUGUGUAUAAUUUACCUUCAGAUUGCUAUUGGGUAAACCAAGAAUUCAUUGAGUAAUCACAGAAUACAUAGAGAGAUUCUCUUGGUUCUUGGAAUGACUUCUAAAUUAAUGAUAAAGUGAUGCUCCUUAGAAUGUUAGAGCUUCACAAUGCCUUUCUAGACUCCUGGCUGCAAAGGUGGCUUAAGAAACAAAAGUCAGGCCGGGCGAGGUCGCUCACCACGCCUGUAAGCCCAGCACUUUGGGAGGCAAGGCGGGCGGAUAACGAGGUCAAGAGAUCGAGACCAUCCUUGCUAACGCGGUGAAACCCUGUCUCUACUAAAAAUACAAAAACAAAAAUUAUCUGGGUAUCGUGGCGGAUGCCUGUAGUUCCAGCUACUGGGGAGGCUGAGGUGGGAGAAUGGUGUGAACCCGGGAGGCGGAGCUUGCAGUGAGCCAUGGUUGUGCCACUGCACUCCAGCCUGGGGGAGAGACUGAGACUUCAUCUCAAAAAAAAAAAAAAAAAAAAAAAAAAACAAGAGUCAAAAAAAGAAAGGACCAACCACGGUUGUUUGGUACCAAAAAGAAACUACAACCAUGUUGUGUCCAGAAUUGGUGGGUUCUUGGUCUCACUGACUUCAAGAAUGAAGCCGCGGACCCUCGCGGUGAGUGUAACAGCUCUUAAGGUGGCGCCUCUGGAGUUUUUUCCUUCUGAUAUUCCCAUGUGUUCGGAGUUUCUUCCUUCUGGUGGGUUCAUGGUCUGGCUGGCUCAGGAGUGAAGCUGCAGACCUUCGCAGUGAGUGUUGCAGCUCUUAAAAGCAGUGUGGACCCAAAGAGUGAGCAGUAGCAAGAUUUAUUGCAAAGAGUUAAAGAACAAAGCUUCCACCGUGUGGAAGGGGACCCAAGCGGGUUGCCAAUGCUGGCUCAGGCAGCCUGCUUUUAUUCUCUUAUCUGGCCCCACCCACAUCCUGCUGAUUGGUAGAGCCCAGUGGCCUGUUUUGACAGGGUGCUGAUUGGUGAGUUUACAAUCCCUGAGCUAGAUACAAAGGUUCUCCACGUCCCCAUUAGAUUAGUUAGAUACAGAAUUUCCACACACAGGUUCUCCAAGGCCCCACCAGAGCAGCUAGUUACAGAGUGUCCAUUGGUGCACUCACAAACGCUGAGCUAGACACAGGGUGCUGAUUGGUGUGUUUACAAACCUUGAGCUAGAUACGAGUGCCGAUUGGUGUAUUUACAAUCCCUGAGGUAGACAUAAAGGUUCUCCAAGGCCCCACCAGACUCAGGAGCCCAGCUGCCUUCACCCAGUGGAUCCCGCACCGGGGCUGCAGGUGGAGCUGCUUGCCAGUCCCGCCCCGUGUGCCCGCACUCCUCAGCCCUUGGGUGGUCGAUGGGACUGGGCGCUGUGGAGCAGGGGGUGGUGCUCGUCGGGGAGGCUCGGGCCGCACAGGAGCCCAUGGAGUGGGUGGGAGGCUCAGGCAUGGCAGGCUGCAGGUCCAGAGCCCUGCCCCGCGGGAGGGCAGCUAAGGCCCGGUGAGAAAUCGAGUGCAGCACCGGUGGGCUGGCACUGCUGGGAGACCCAGUACACCCUCCGCAGCCACUGGCCCGGGUGCUAAGCCCCUCACUGCCUGGGGCCGGCAGGGCC
rnacentral:lncRNA from 10 species